AGGGAAGGAGGCCUGCUGCUGCUCAUCUGAGUACUGGUCUGGAUUCUUCUAUUUCUGAUGUACUGUUGUCUGUUCCUCAAGGGAAUCCUCCUGCUGGCCAUCAAUCUGUUGCAAGACUAGAUGGCCAAAGUUCUGUGAUACCAGGGUUGAGCAGACCUGAUUAUGACGAGCUGAUGAACUUGUUACACCAGACCAAGUUGGGGGAAUCCACUGCUCAAACUCCUCCUCCCAUAUAUGCUGCAAACUU
rnacentral:lncRNA from 1 species